rnacentral:rRNA from 1 species
CCGCCAUCCGAGUUGUAAUCUAGAGAAGUGUUACCCGCGUCGGACCGUGUACAAGUCUCCUGGAAUGGAGCGUCAUAGAGGGUGAGAAUCCCGUCUUUGACACGGACCCCCGAGGCUUUGUGGUGCGCUCUCAAAGAGUCGAGUUGUUUGGGAAUGCAGCUCAAAAUGGGUGGUAAAUUCCAUCUAAAGCUAAAUAUUGGCGAGAGACCGAUAGCGAACAAGUACCGUGAGGGAAAGAUGAAAAGAACUUUGGAAAGAGAGUUAAACAGUACGUGAAAUUGCUGAAAGGGAAACGCUUGAAGUCAGUCGCGUUGGCCGGAAAUCAGCCUUGCUAUAGCUUGGUGUACUUUCUGGUUGACGGGCCAGCAUCAGUUUUGACCGGUGGAUAAAGCUGUGAGGAAUGUGGCAUCUUCGGGUGUGUUAUAGCCUCGCUUCGUAUACAUCGGUUGGGACUGAGGAACUCAGCACGCCGCAAGGCCGGGGUUCGCCCACGAUCGUGCUUAGGAUGCUGGCAUAAUGGCUUUAAUCGACCCGUCUUGAAACACGGACCAAGGAGUCUAACAUGCCUGCGAGUGUUUGGGUGGAAAACCCGGACGCGCAAUGAAAGUGAAAGUCGAGAUCCUUGUCAUGGGGAGCAUCGACGCCCGGACCAGAAGUUUACGGACGGUUCUGCGGUAGAGCAUGUAUGUUGGGACCCGAAAGAUGGUGANCUAUGCCUGAAUAGGGUGAAGCCAGAGGAAACUCUGGUGGAGGCUCGUAGC